CCACAUCACAUUGAAACACCAGUUCCCGUACGAUCACCAAAGUUAAGCAACGUCGAGCCUGGUCAGUACGCAGAUGGGUGACCGCUGAAGGCUUGGAUGUUCAGGUGGUG